GGGGAUAUAGCUCAGCAGCACAGCACCUGCCUGGAAAGCAUGAGGUCGUGAGUUCAAUUCCUAGUACCA
rnacentral:tRNA from 1 species